GGUUGUGGCUCAAUGGUAGAGCACUUGCCUACCAUGUGUGAGGCACUGGGUUCAAUUCUCAGCACCG
rnacentral:tRNA from 1 species